AUGGUUGACCGGGUUCCUGAAGCUGAGAAGGCUCUGGUCUUCCCACAGCUAACAGAUGAGAACUAUAGUUUAUGGUCUUUUCGGGUGGAGGCGCUUUUGACCUCUAGAGAAGUAUGGACCUAUGUAACUGAUGACCCUCCUAACCCUGUAACUAAUGCUUGGUCGAAAGGAGAUGCAAAAGCCAGGGCGAUAAUUAAUUUGGCAGUCAGCGACCAGCAAGUAGUCUAUAUAAGGAAUAAGAAAACUGCCAAAGAAAUGUGGGACAGUCUUGCAGCAGUGCAUGUUAGAAAAGAGUCAGCGUCUGCAUUGACGUUUUUCAAGCAGUUGUACCAGACGAAGUUGCAGCCUGGUGGUGAUUUGGCAGCACACUUGAGACGUCUGGAGGCAAUACACUGCGAAUUAAUUCAAAGGGACAUGGAGAUACCUGAUAUUCAGUAUAUUUUUAUCAUCCUUUGUUCCCUUAAUGAGGACUUUGAUGGUGUAGCUAGCCAGAUAUCUGCCGUUCCACCAGCACAAUUAACUGUGGAAGGGGUAACGGCAAGAUUAAUGGGCGAGUUGGAUAGGAGGGAGGCUUGUGCCAUAAGCACUCCUGUUUCCAGAAAGAAUGAGGAACGCCAUAUGCAAACCUGUGGUGAUACAACUGCAUUUAAAGCUGCAAAGCGUUGUUGGUUCUGCAAUAAGCAAGGACAUUUUGCAAGGGACUGCAGAUCCAAAAGAAAACAAAGUACUCCCAAGCCUGUUUCUGUUCGUCAAUCACGGUCGUCAGCCCAGCAGCCGGCAUCGUAUAGUAGAGACAGAAACGAGCCGCGAGCUUUUCACGCUCGGACUAAAGAUCGUAAAAGAAUUAAAGGUGCCAAGUGGAAGUCUUUUGUUAUCGACUCAGGAUCAUCUCAGCAUAUCUGCAAUGAUCGAAGCUUGUUUAUUUCUUUCGAAGAGGAAAUUGGUAAUGUACAUUUAGCCAAUUCACAAGUCUUGCAGUCGCUUGGCAGGGGUACCGUUAAACUUUACUCUUUAAACAUUACAAUAGCGAACUGCAUUUACUGCCCGUCAGUGGACAAUUUAUUGUCAGUAAGGUGCUUUGCCCAUCAAGGCAUAACUGUGCGUUUCUUAAAGUCUAUGUGUGAGUUUUUCGAGGGGAACAAACGUCUAUUGUAUGCUCGGGAAUCUGAUGGUUUAUAUAGACUGUAUUUUCGCACCUACUCCCAAUCGCCUAUAAAUUGCAGAGCAGCACAGUCAAGCCAGGAGUUGAGGAAUGUAAGGCCACAUUCUGGGUGUAUCCACGUGGCGCACAGAAUUCUGGGACACCUGAAUUUUGCUGAUGUAAUUAAGACAAAGAAUAUUGUUAAUGGCCUCAACUUAAAACCAUGUAAAUUCUAUAUGCAAUGUUUAUCAUGUUGCAAGAAUAAGAUUAAGGUUGCAUGCAAGGGCAGGUGCUCAGAUAGAAAAGUAACUGAGGCAUUUGAGCGUGUACAUUGUGAUUUAGUUGGGCCACUCCCACCAUCAUUAGGAGGUUCGAAGUACUGGCUUACUCUGAUAGACCAGUAUAGUAGAUAUUGUUGGACUUAUGCAAUAGCUGAGAAGUCCCAAGCUUUUGAGAAGUACAAGGUUUUUUGCAACUGGGUAAAAACGCACUUUAACAAACCUAUUAAGAACCUGUUUUCUGACCGGGGCGGGGAAUUUGUUUCUGAGGAUUUUGAGAAAUUCCUGGAAGCGCAGGGGACUACUCAUGAGUUAUCUUGCCCCCGAAGUCCCUGGCAAAAUGGGCUUGUUGAAGUUGUGCAGCGUGACCUGCAGGCAGGGGUUAAAACUUAUCUGCACGAUGCUAAUCUGCCCAAAGACUUUUGGGCUGAAGCGCUCCAUGCUUUUUGUUAUGUGAGAAAUCGCAGUUAUCAUUCUGGUUUAGAUGUCACCCCCUAUGAGAAGCUGUUUAAAAAACGCCCUAAUCUGAAAUACCUACGUAUUUGGGGUUUGGAUGUAAUUAUGCAUUAUCCUGCUAAGCAGAAAUUGGGUGAACGUAGUGUUCAGGGAAAAUUAAUGGGCUACCAGCAGGGGGCGUACAGAAUUUACAUACCAGCAACUGGCAAAUUUCAUAUUACCAGAAGCAUGAUACAAACUGUAAAUUGGAAUGAAGUUGCUGUUUUCCAAGAUACUGGUGGUAUAAAUGAUACUGAGGAAGAAGAGGAAGCAGGAGCAGCAGCAGCAGCAGGAAAUGGUGAUUCUGAAUUAAUGGGAAAAGACAAAAAGCCUGUUGAAUCUGAUAAUUUGUUUGAUUUAAAGUCACAGGCAUCUGAGGGGAGGUUAGAUUCUCUUGAGUUUUCUGACCGUGAGCUUAGCCCACAGGCACCUCUUCAGUCUGACAAUGAUAAUUUACAAUCUGAAACUAGUAGUUCACUGAGUCCCAUUAAGUCUGAGGAGUCUGACUCUCCUUCCGGACUGAGACGUUCAGAUAGAAAGAGGCAGAAGCCACAACGUUUCGCAGAUGAACAUUUUAAUACUGUGUAUGCCAAUAAGGCGGUUUUUGAGCCAAAAAGCUACAGUGAUGUUCAGAAUCUACCUAUGCACCAAGCUGUAAAUUGGUAUAAAGCUAUGAACUCUGAGAUAGCUUCUUUAAAAGAGCAUAACACUUGGUCUCUUGUACCACAAACCCCAGAUAUGAGACUUAUUGAUUCAAAAUGGGUUUAUAGAGUUAAAAUGAAUGACAAAAAUGAAGUUGUAAGGUACAAGGCAAGACUAGUUGCUAGAGGUUUUCAACAAAUUCCAGGUGAAGAUUAUGAUUUGUGUUAUUCACCAAGUGUAAAAUAUGAAACUGUUAAGCUUUUGUUAAAAGAUGCAUCACAACGUGGACAUUCUGUUUAUCACCUAGAUAUAAAAACUGCAUAUUUGUUUGCAGAUUUAAAAGAACAAAUUUUUAUGCGUGUCCCUGAAGGCAUAGACGCUACUGAAGGUUUGGUAUGCAAAUUAAAUAAAUCCCUUUAUGGUCUGCACCAAAGUGGAAGGAAUUGGCACCAAACUUUAGCAAAAGAAUUGCUAGAUAUUGGUUUUUCACAAGGAAAGGCAGACAAUUGUGUGUUUAUAAAGGAAAGGGCAAACUCUGUAACAAAAAUAUGUGUGUAUGUAGAUGACGUAUUAAUUUCUACAAAAACUAAACAGGAAUAUGAACAGGUAGUUUCACAGUUACAGAAGAAGUUUGAUGUGGUGGAAUUAGGCAUAGCUAAAAAUUACUUAUCCAUGCAAAUUGAGAAAGGCAAAAAUGGAUCUUUUCUGGUUCAUCAAACUGCAAAAAUUGAUGAUCUAGUUGAAAUGCUACGUUUAGAAAAUGCAAAUGGGAAGGAAACACCUAUGGUGUGUGGUUUCACCUUUACAGGUGAAGAUAAGCCAUUUCCUAACAAAACUUUGUAUCGUUCUGCUAUAGGCAAGCUAAAUUUCAUUCAAAGAAUCUCAAGACCAGAUAUAACUUAUGCUUUUCACUUUCUAGCAAAAUUUGUGGAAAAGCCCACUACACAAUGUUUCUCUGCUCUUAAGAGGGUGGUAAUGUACCUUAAACAUACCAAACAUUAUAGGUUGCAGUUUACACCCAGUAUUGAUAAAGGUUUUGAAAUUUUCUGUGAUGCAUCUCAUGCAGUAGAACAAAAUAAUUGCAGGGGUGUGUCUGGUAUGGUGUUUUGUUAUAACGGUUGUCCAUUUGAAUGGAAGUCCCAGACACAAAACAUUAUUUGUCUCUCCACAACUGAGAGUGAAUUAUGUGCAUGCGUUCAGGCCACUCGUGAUGUAGAAUGGUAUCUGCAAGUAUUUGCAGACCUACAGAUGCAAGUAACACUACCAGUAAAAGUUUACCUUGAUUCCCAGAGUGGACUUGCUAUCCUGUGUUCAGAGACCAAUACGCAGCGCACUAGAGUUUUAAGGUUACGUUUAGAAUUUGUAAAGAAACUAAUUGCUGAUGAAAUGGUUGUAUUUAAAUAUGUUCCAGGUGACAAUCAAAUUGCGGACAUUUUUACUAAAGCACUUCCAAAGGUUACACAUGAAAAACAUGUACAAAGUAUGCUUUAUGUUUUUGUUCCACAAUGA
rnacentral:lncRNA from 1 species